GCAACCCUUCCAUUUUCGAGCAACAUUCGAAACUCAAGAUAUACAACUCGUCACUAACAUUCAAAAAUUCCAUCAACACACCAUAAAACUCUCGAUCAAGAAUCUCCAGAGAAAACAAAGCUAUAAUACUCAAGAGAAAAUGGCAGCGAGAAACCAACCUGGAAGAAAUCAAACCAAAGACCUUAAGUGUGCAACACAUCUCUUAAGUGAUAAAUUCAGAAACAUGAGUGAGGAGAAGAAAACAAUUGUGAGGGAUUUGGGAUUCGGUGGCUUGAUGCACAUCCCGCCACUAAGGGU